GCAUCAAUGGGGUAGAGGUAACCUGGGUCGUUGCCAACGUCGCUAAAUUCGACCCGCCGGGGGUUCGAUUCCCCCUUGAUGCA